rnacentral:rRNA from 1 species
AUUGAACGCUGGCGGCAUGCUUUACACAUGCAAGUCGAACGGUAACAGGCCGCAAGGUGCUGACGAGUGGCGAACGGGUGAGUAAUGCAUCGGAACGUGCCCAGUCGUGGGGGAUAACGCAGCGAAAGCUGUGCUAAUACCGCAUACGAUCUGUGGAUGAAAGCGGGGGACCGUAAGGCCUCGCGCGAUUGGAGCGGCCGAUGUCAGUUUAGGUAGUUGGUGGGGUAAAGGCUCACCAAGCCGACGAUCUGUAGCUGGUCGGAGAGGACGACCAGCCACACUGGGACUGAGACACGGCCCAGACUCCUACGGGAGGCAGCAGUGGGGAAUUUUGGACAAUGGGCGCAAGCCUGAUCCAGCAAUGCCGCGUGCAGGAAGAAGGCCUUCGGGUUGUAAACUGCUUUUGUACGGAGCGAAAAGGCUCUCUCUAAUACAGGGGGCUCAUGACGGUACCGUAAGAAUAAGCACCGGCUAACUACGUGCCAGCCACCGCAGUAACAC